rnacentral:rRNA from 1 species
CCUACGGGAGGCAGCAGUGGGGAAUUUUGCUCAAUGCUCGUAAGACUGACGCAGCGACGCCGCGUGAAUGACGAAGGCCUUCGGGUCGUUAAGUUCUUUCGGCAGGGGAGAAAAUGCAUAUAAGUAACUUUGUAUGUAUUGACGGUACCUGUAUGAGCAGCCCCGGCUAACUCCGUGCCAGCAGCCGCGGUAAUACGGCGGGGGCUAGCGUUGUUCGGAUUGACUGGGUUUAAAGAGCACGUAGGCGGUGUUGUAAGUCAUUAGUCAAAGAGUCGAGCUCAACUCUAGUAAGGCUAGUGAUACUAUAAUACUAGAGUAUCAGAGAGGAUUGCAGAAUUCAUGGUGUAGCGGUGAAAUGCGUAGAUAUCAUGAAGAAUACCGUUAGCGAAGGCAGCAAACUGGCUGGAAACUGACGCUGAGGUGCGAAAGCGUGGGUAGCAAACAGGAUUAGAUACCCCAGUAGUC